UACGAAGGGUGCAAGCGUUAAUCGGAAUUACUGGGCGUAAAGGGUGCGUAGGCGGUUCGUUAAGUCUGUUGUGAAAUCCCCGGGCUCAACCUGGGAAUGGCAAUGGAUACUGGCGGGCUAGAGUGUGUCAGAGGAUGGUGGAAUUCCCGGUGUAGCGGUGAAAUGCGUAGAGAUCGGGAGGAACAUCAGUGGCGAAGGCAGCCAUCUGGGACAACACUGACGCUGAAGCACGAAAGCGUGGGGAGCAAACAGG
rnacentral:rRNA from 1 species